AUUGAACGCUGGCGGCAUGCCUUACACAUGCAAGUCGAACGGUAACAGGUCUUCGGAUGCUGACGAGUGGCGAACGGGUGAGUAAUACAUCGGAACGUGCCCGAUCGUGGGGGAUAACGAAGCGAAAGCUUUGCUAAUACCGCAUACGAUCUACGGAUGAAAGCAGGGGACCGCAAGGCCUUGCGCGAACGGAGCGGCCGAUGGCAGAUUAGGUAGUUGGUGGGAUAAAAGCUUACCAAGCCGACGAUCUGUAGCUGGUCUGAGAGGACGACCAGCCACACUGGACCGGGGACAGGGCCCGGACUCCUAGGGGGGGCAGCGGGGGGGAAUUUUGGACAAUGGGGAAAAGCCGGAUCCAGUCAUCCCGCGGGCAGGAUGAAGGCCUUGGGGUUGUAAACUGCUUUUGUAGGGAACGAAAAGACUCUGGUUAAUACCUGGGGUCCAUGACGGUACCGAAAGAAUAAGCACCGGCUAACUACGU
rnacentral:rRNA from 1 species